CAUUGUUUCUUUUUUUGCCAGUUCAGUGCAGAGAAAAAGGGGACUUUCCAGUACAAACAAGGGACUGCAGGUUGAGCUGUCAAAAGAGGGACUAUCCCUCUAAAAACGGCACAGUUCGGGGGUAUGGACUCCUAGGGGGAUAUACCUAAAUGGGGAGGUGGUGGACAUGUGUCAUGUUCUUGAUUUGACUGUGGGGUGAAGCAGUGUAUGUGGGGGCCCUAGGGAUAUGUCUGAGGAGAGGGAGUUGGGCAGUGUGUGAUCACCAUAGGUAUUACAUAGUUUUAUUACAUAGCUAUACACCAUUGUUUUACAUAAAUCCUAGAAAAGAUUUAAAAUAAGAUUAAGGCAUAAAAUACCGUAUUAAAUGACAAAUUACUGUACAGAGUGGUGAAUCCACCUCCAUAUCUUUUACUUAAAGGGGAACUCCACACAAACAUAACUUGAGCUUUUUGAAAAGUAAACAAAAUUUCAAGCUAGUUUGCAAUAUUUAUAAAUUAAAAAAUAUGCAGACUUUUCAUGAUUUUUUUUUUAAAAAAAACUUGUUUUUAUUUAUUUGUAACGACAUGAAAUUCUUUAUGGUUCAAAUUUACAUAUCUUUUCAGAAAACAGGUAAGUGAAAAAGAUUCAUGUGAUUAUAACAACAAUAUAUAAUAACAUUUUAUAACAUGUCUAACUUUCAGCUCGUCUGAUAUCCUCUUAAAGACCCUAUGAAAAAGUUAUCUAUGAUGAGAAGCCAGUAAUCUAUUAGUUUGAUGACUCCUGGGAAUAUAUUAUCUUGAUCUCGGUCUUGCUGUAGCCUUCUGAGGUAUUGGGAUGAUUCCAUAACCAGUGGGUGUUCUUAGUGUCUCUUGGUCGUACCAUGUUGUGUAUCUAAAUGUAUAAACUCUAAGGUGUCUGAUUUGUUGUGGGAGAGAUUCUAUGUAUGUUGCCCACAUGUUAAAGAAUUUUGUAGUUUUGUUCUUUUCGGGUUAAGGCUUCCAACCAGUCCAUUUGAAAGAUAUUAUGUAAUUUUUGUUUCAGCACCAUUAUGGAUGGAGGUUCAGUGUCUAACCAAUGUUGUAAUAUUGUUUUCCUAGCUGCUGCAGCAAGUCUUCCCAUCAGAUUUUUCCCUACUUUUUUUAGUUGUGUAUAUAAAGUAGUGUCGCUAAAUAGGGCCCAUUCUAGUUGUAUUUGGAGUGGUUUUCCAGCCAUCUGCGGCCCAUAUGAAAUCACCUCAUGCCAAAAGGUUUGUAAUUUAGAGCAAGACCAUAGGUUGUGUAAUAGAUCAGCUUUAGGGGAGCGGCAUCUAAGACCAUUAUCAGAGGAAAAACUACCCAUUUUAUGUCUUCUAAUUGGAGUAAGAUAUGAAUUAUGAAGGAUUUGGAGAGACAUUUCUUGAUAUCUACUUGCUGGGAGUAGUUUCAUGAUGUUCAUAUGUUGUUUAAAGAUGUCUGAUGUUGUAACAUUUGGAAUGUCUGUGGUCCAUUUGAAGCUAGAUCUUUCUUCAUUAUUAAUUUCAAUUAGCGUUCGGAUAGUCUGAUAUAUUUGUCUUUUCAUGAUUUUAAAUGGUUUGGAACAGUCCUUAAGCCUAGCCCCUACUCUCCUGCUGAUCCAUCUGACUACAUUGCUGAGCUGGCUGACUACUAUUACUUUGUAUCAACAGCCAGUUUUGUUUAGCCUGCAGCAUCCAAACCCCACAAUUCCCUGCAAACAUGAUUUCAAUGAGGAAUGGAACAUCACUGUGCAAUUCAUUGUAGGUUAUGUAGUUCUUGUGUGCUGUUGUAAGCUGUGAAGAAGUUGUUACAAUUUGUAACAUUAGUGUUUAGUCCCUCCUUCCCUGCCAGGAUUUUAAAUGAUGCAGAAAGAGAACUGUUAAACAGAUGGAUUGCAGCAUAGAAAAUGGCAUUUAUUCAUACUUUUUGAAGAAACCGGUAACCGUGAUAUUAGGGGUUUCUGUGUUGUGUGGGCCUCUUUAUCAGAAGAGUUCCCCUUCGAUUUAUUUUGCAUAUGUACCACCUCUACCAUAUGUCUAUAUGUCACUACAUCAGCACCUAUAUCCGCAGGGAUGCCUACUGGGAUGGAUUAAAUAAAGCAUUAUUGAAAAAAAAUGUUCUGCAAAUUGGGAACUCCUAUAGAGUUAUUUAAAGAUUUUAUUUUUCCACCUAAUUUUGCAUUUUUUGUUUGUUUCGGCCCUAGCUUCUAGUGCACAAAUCACAAAGGUAGCAGCACUCCAUUUUCAUGAAGAUACAACUGCCUUCAUUCCCACAUAUGGCAGGCAGGCCUUUCCUAUUCAUAUUCCAGUGGAACAGAAGAGGGACAAGAACCCAUGGCAGAACUACAGAGUGUUACACUCUUCAAUACUUAAGUGACUGCUGCUGGCACUUUCCAUGUACACUCUAAGGGUGCAUCCAGUGGAAGAGGAGGGGACAAGCAGGACAUGAGGUGCUCCUGAAUGAUUCAAUUUUGAUUUCUGCCUACUGGGACCCAUGUCUGUCCUUUGUGAAUGCACUUUGUAAGACCUGUGAUAGAAAAAAAUGUUUCCCCUUUAAUACGCCUAAGGUAAGUUCCCCCACAAAAUAAUUCUAACUUCAAUAGACAGCUGCCUUCAUCACUGCUACUUCACACCAGACCAAUGGAAACAAUUGACUGCCCCUCAAGAAGUGAAACAACAAUGCUGUCAACAGUGCUAGUCCCACAUACUAUUGAGCCCCAACUGACAUUUCAGUGGUUAAUAACUCAACGGGACAAUAAAAGAACCUAUAGUAGAAAAUGUAUGUAAUAAUAAUAAAUAUGUCAUUAGUACAAAUAUUUUGCAUAAAUUAGACACCCCUGCAUAAAUAUUUGACUGCUCCCCACCCAGCAUCGUUCAGUCAAUAGACUGAACCUUGAACGUUAGUAUUGUAUGUGAUACAUUCUUACACAUUUUCACAAAUUUGUGAAGAUUUUGCUGCUAGGCCUACACUUUGUAACUGUAUAUUCCUUGCUUCAAUAAAAGGCUGUCUGGGUCACUGUCACAUCUGGUACCUGUCUGCACCAUGGGAAAUUAAAUGUUAAUGCUGUUAACUGCAACAAGGAGGCAUUUCAUUGGUUAUCAUCCAUGAUCUCAUGUUGACAAGCAGUGUCAGUUUAAAAAAAACAAUCCAUACUUUUGGCUAAAUCCCUCACUGCUAUACCCUUCCGAGUGGCUAUUAUUAGUACUGCUACUACAGGCACCAUCACUCCCUUCUAUCCCACAGCCAAAGUCCUUUCACAGAGGCUAUUGUUGUUAUAAAUACCGUCUCUCCAUACUAUACCUAUCUCAGAGCUACAGUCUCUUCACAGAGGCUAUUAUCUCUACUGCAACUAUAGGCACAUCCCAUCCUACUAUUACCUCACAGUCUCUUCCCAGAGGCUAUUAACCCCACUGUUAUUACAGGCUCCCUCUUUCCCUACUAAAUCUACUAUCCCACAGUUCCUUCCUAGAGGUUGUUAUCCCACUGCUACUGCAGGUAUCAUCUCUUCCUGCUAUCCCAUUGCCAUAAUAUUGUUCAAUAUUUAACAUGCUCCAAAAGUGAUGAUUUUCCAGGAAAAAUCUUUGAAUUUUAAAACUUACUAGAAAGACCUACCUAAGAUUCUCACUUUACCUUGUGCAGUUGCCUGGAGGUGUCUUAGCCAGGUUCAAAGUUUCCCCAAGCAAAGAACAGGCCUUGCUAAAGGGUACAACUAGGCUACACACAAUGGGGCAAAUUCACCAAAGGGGAAUUUUCUCCUCGGAAGGCUUUGCCAAACUUCACUCAACUUUAUCAGGAGCAAAUUCGCUACCACUACGCUAACUCACUAAAUUGCGAAGUUGCAUCUCGGCAGCCGAAUGCUGCAAUAAAUGUUGUAAAUCAGCAAUCCGGAAGGCAAAGAAAGGAAAUGAGUUAAUUGCGGUGGAGGUGAAAACUAACCCUAAAAAGU